rnacentral:rRNA from 1 species
GUGUCAGCAGCCGCGGUAAUACCAGCUCUCCGAGUGGUGUGGAUGUUUAUUGGGCCUAAAGCAUCCGUAGCUUGCUGAUCAAGUCCCCUGUUAAACCCAACGAAUCAAUCGUUGGAUUGCGGGGGAUACUGCUCGGCUAGGGGACGGGAGAGGCCGACGGUAUUUUCGGGGUAGGGGUGAAAUCCUAUAAUCCCGAGAGGACCACCAGUGGCGAAGGCUGUCGGCUAGAACGCGCCCAACGGUGAGGGAUGAAAGCUGGGGGAGCGAACCGGAUUAGAUACCCGGGUAGUCCCAGCUGUAAACGAUGCAGGCUAGGUGUUUGGGCGGCCACGCGCCGCUCUAGUGCCGCAGGGAAGCUGUUAAGCCUGCCGCCUGGGGAGUACGGCCGCAAGGCUGAAACUUAAAUGAAUUGACGGGG